rnacentral:lncRNA from 1 species
CAGAGGGCGCCCUGCUCACUGGCCAUGUCUCACACAGGCCACAAGCCUGCGUGUCCUGAUGGUUUCAGAAGGGCUUCACCUUCUCUGGUGACCCUGGGUGACCGGGGGUCCUCCCAACCCAUUGUAGAAGGCAUCUCCCUGUGUAUUCAACCAAAGAGACAAGUAGGUGUUCUGCCACGGGAACAUCAGGGCACAGACAUUUGAAAUAAAAUUCAGCAAAGCUUCAAGCAGAAGGGGGAGUGUCCUGGCGCCAGCACACCCCUCCUGGACGGCGAGAGAGAUGGUCUUGGAUCAACCCAAGGAAGAGCAAGAGGCUGAGCUGAGUUGGGGUCGCUGUCUUAAAACACAGUGCCAACAAACCAUAAGAGCAAAGAAAAAAUGAUGGCUGUGCAGACGGCUCAGGUCUCAGCCCUUCCUCCCUGAGUCCCACCUUCCCCCCCAGUCCCUUCCCCACGGAACCAGGAAAGUGCUGUGAGCUCAGUCCACCUGGGUGGGGAAGGGCAGAGUUCUGUUUGGAAAAUGACCAUCAGGCAAAGUCAGAAUGAGCAGCAAUAUCAAAAUACACUACCAUGUGAUCACGAUUACCGAACAACGUGUUUUAAGCAAAUAUUUACUGGUACUUGCACUAUGCCUCAAGCACUGCGCAGAGGGACAGCCAGGACAAUAUCACAGCCCCUGCCACCCUGACCCCAGAGCAGAGAACUGCAGGUGUUAACCAGAGAACCACACAGACAUGGAACUGAGGGCGAGGCUCUGCAAGACCGAGACAAACAGGUGGUCCGACAGCAGGGAUAUUGCUUCAACAAUUCAAUUUUAGAAUUGCCCUUAAAAAUCACAUACGAC